GUCCUUUUGAUUUUUAUAUAAGGUCUGACCUGCCCUAUGAAUAUUUAAAUGGCCGCGGUAUACUAACCGUGCAAAGGUAGCAUAAUCAUUUGUCUCUUAAUUGGAGGCUUGAAUGAAGGGUUGGACGAGAUAUAAGCUUUCUUUGUUAUAUUUUAUUGAAUUUGACUUUUGAGUUAAAAGGCUUAAAUUUUUUUAUAGGACGAGAAGACCCUAUAGAAUUUUAUAUAUUUGUAUAAUCGAUUUAUUUAUUUAUUAUUUAAUUUUUUGUUUAAAUAUAUUUUGUUGGGGCGACGGGAAGAUUUUAAUAACUCUUUUUUUGUUCUAAUCAUUGAUUUAUGUUUUAUUCUGAUCCUUUUUUAGAGAUUAUAAGAUUAAAUUACCUUAGGGAUAACAGCGUAAUUCUUUUGGAGAGUUCUUAUCGAUAAAAGAGUUUGCGA
rnacentral:rRNA from 1 species